UCCCUGGUGGCUCAGGUGGUAAAGCGCCUGCCUGCAAUGUGGGAUACCCAGGUUCAAUCCCUGGAUUGGGAA
rnacentral:tRNA from 1 species